CCUCAGGCUUGAAAGGGGGUGUGUGCAGCCACCUACAUAAAUAACAAGGGAAAGAGAGACCUUCAUGUAUAAGUUUAGGUGAAACAUCUGGCAAGUGGGCGAUAUUUCGAUUGUACGAAACAUAGAUGCUUGGCAUCUUCCACGGUGGAGACGGUCAGGUCCUCCAGAAACACAAUCGGCUCACAAAAUGUGGUCAGGAAGCGCGCUCUCUGCUCGUCUCAGUAGAGGCCCCAGGACAGUGAGGGUGGCUGGGAGAUUUCUGGGGCUUCGCAUCACUUUUACAUCAAAAUGAAGAGCAGUGAGAACAGGUUCCAUCACUAUUUUCCUCUCCAAGGCACUCCAGUUGCAAGAACUUUCUGGAAUUUCUGUCAGGGCACAAAUUCCCAGAAUUGCAUUUGGGCCCCUCACCUGUACUUCCUCUCUCUCCGCUGACCUCAGAACGCAGGAUGAGGUGAAUCCUGAUUUUGCCCGACCGCACAGAACACAGCUUGCCGAACCACCCAAUUAUAGGAGAUAACCGAAGCUCUGGGCAAAAAUAUGGAUCGAAAGGCCCCACUCAUGAGGGUGUUGAAAUCUGCUGAGAUUUAUUUUGAUGAAGCACCACCUUGUACUCAAACCCAUACAUUGACAUUAGUUUCUGGAGGAAUGCAAACCAAGACGGUAUUUGGGACAUGAAGGACAUAAACUCACCUCUAUGUGAUUACUUAGAAACUCCUCAUUUAAGCGAGGCUGUGGGAAAACAACAACAACAACAACGACAACAACAACAACAAAACGGUUCGUGAGUUCAAGCCCCGCGUCGGGCUCUGUGCUGACUGCUCAGAGCCUGGAGCCUGCUUUGGAUUCUGUGACUCCCUCUCUCUGUGCCCCUCUCCUGCUCAU